UAUGAAAAUAAUGUUUAAAUUACAUAAUUAUUUUCAAAAUAAAAUAUUGUUUAACGAGAAAAGAAAACUCUCCGACAGAAAUCAAUUGACCUCGAAGUUAACUGUUAACAACAAUAGGUCACUUUACAUCCUUCAACAAUGACUAUGAGCAAAGCCAAUACUGCAUAUUCAGUUUUUAAGGACCCUAUAUGAGAAUCACAAAUUUUUAAAUCAAUUCAAACAAGAAAACUAAGAGACUGAUUUAUACAAGUAAAAUAUAAAAAACAGAUAAAAAAAAAAUAGGAUAAACAGCAACAUAAGACAAAUCGAACCACUAAAUUACACUUAUUUAGUUAGAAAUAUGUGU
rnacentral:lncRNA from 1 species